ensembl:lncRNA
AAAUCUAACCUGUGCAGGUAAACAAUCUGCUAAGAAGCUGAGCGAUGUGGAGGAGGAGGAGGAGGAAGAGGAGUUUCUAAUGCCAGAGUUGGAAGGAGAGAAAGAGAACGAGGACCAGAGUAACGAAGGAGAAGCGGCUGCUGUGAAGUCGGGGAGAAAACGCAAAAAGAAGAAUCGAGCAGAAGCCUUGAUUGAGGAACCGAGUGACAAGAAAAACAAAACAGAUGAAGCAGGCGUACCUGAAGACUCUGAAGCAGCACUUCCUGAGGAGCUCCCCACUGCAGACACGUAAAAAUACAAAAUAAAUAAACAGUCUUUAAAAAUGAAACGUUUAUUGCAUAAAUUAAAACGUAUUUUGUGUUUAGGGCGGAAAAGACUGAAAAUGUGAAGACAGCUAAGGAUGCAGCCAUCAAACCAGCCAGGCUCUGCAGAGGCAGGGCACCAAAUCCACUGGUACCUUUGGGUCUGAAGCGCGGCAAAAAGCCUCUGCCUUCUGCAAAGGCCAAAGGCACAGAGGAAGAUAACCGGGAGGAGAUGGGGAGGGAAGGAGCUGAUCAGGAGCAGGUAUUUCUCCUUUUUUUCCAGUCUACUUAACCUCCUUAUCUGUUUGGACUUUUCCAGUCUGACAUUUUGUGAUAUAUCAGGGAAAAAGUGAAAAUGAAGCCCAGCUGAGCCAAGAAAGGAAGAGGAAGGAUGAUGGUGAUGUUUCUUCUGAGGGUGAGGAGGAUGCUGCAGCUAAACCUCAGAGGCCCACACGAUAUGGCCGAGUGCCCAAACAAGUCCAGCCCUUGAUGUACGCCGCCAAAGACGAUUUGCACUCGCCUGCAUCCUCUGACACGUCCAAAGUUCCCGCCAAGAGGGCAAAGUCGGUCGAACCUCCACCAGUGCAGAAGUCCAAAAAGCCCAAACUGGUCACCCUGAGGUCGUCCAGGUCAGAGUUUAGUGACGAGGAGAACGAAAACGAGUGGGAGGAGGAGGAGCACCACCUCACCCGGAGCUCCAGUCGAGACGGCGACACUCACGGCUUUGUUCAGAGCAGCCUGCACGCCUCCAACACGGAGAUUUCAGAGGUGGAUGACACCAUGGUGGAGCUUGAUAUCUUGGACAGUAUGCCCGAUGUGCUGGGCCUUUCCCAAGAUGCCCUGUGUCCUGACUCAACCUGUCAGCAGGCAGAUCAUGACACAGGCACUUCUGAGCCCAGUGAGCACCAGCUGGACCUGCUUGUUGUAAGUCACGAGUGUCAAAAGUUUUUGCGCCGGCUUUACUCUUCCCAGUUACAGUUAUAAUUUUUAUGUGUUUUUCUUUCUAGUUUGUGGCCUUUGUGGUAAUUUUUUGUGUUGCUUUGACAUUCUGUUGUUGCUUUUUUAGCACAAUUGAAUAUCUUUGGGGUGUUUGGCUGGCAGUUUUACGUGUGUGAGCCCAAAUGAGUAUUUAUUCCAAGUGGUCAAAUUUAGCUCUUUGAAGACCCAGUGGUCUUUUAAUCAUAAUUAUAAUGUUUUUAUCUAAUUGAAAAAAAAAACACUGUUGUUUUCUAGGAUAUAGUUUCUGCAUGGCAGCAGUAGUUUAUUAUAAAUUUGCAUGUGAAUUGAGGGCGGGACUGUUGGUGUGGAGAUACCUUGCUCUCCCUCCCUGUCGCAGAGAGCUCUAGGUUUACACUCUCUCCGGCUAGCUUACAGCCCCUCACACCCUCAACCUAACUUUACAGGCGCAAGAAAAGGGUGAGCAGUAUUAGAGGUAUCCAGUUGUACAAUUUUGUGUCAGAUGCAGCUCGAAGACAUACAUGGAUCUUGUCAUCUACAAGUGGAUGCAUCAGAAUGGAGUGGAGCAGGAAGCGGGUGGCUCAUUCAUUACAGCUUCUACAUCACAACUCCGAGCUUUUUCAAACCACAUUUGGUCUGGCCCUGAUUCACACCAAUAAGUAUUAAAAAAUACUCAAAAAUGCUAUUUUAAUCAUAAUUGUUCUAUAUUUGUUGUCUGUUCUCAGAAAAAGUCCAGUACAUGUUAGACGUCAAAAACACGAUUUUCAUUGGAGUAGUUCUUUACAAACAAAUGUUUCCUUCGACACUAAUGCAGUUUGUAAUCAGGAAAUACCACAAUUAAGUAAAAAACAUAUUUUUUUAAACUUGUCUAAAGACAAAAUUCUAAAACCAUGUUGAUUAAAACAUUCAGUCUACCAAGCUACCACUAGGUGGCACUGAAAACGAACAAACAACUUGUAAACUUAUUUUGCAAGUACCUGAAACCUAACCAAUAGCAGUUAUGGUGUGAUAGGAUCACAGACACUAAAAGAAUGUCCAACCACCACGGAGGAAGGGAGGGACAGGUUUGAGGCUCGCUGUGAAAUCGCCAUUGAAUCUGCUUCAAGGGGCCCUAAAAGGAUUGAUAUAACCCUGGGCAUCCAACACACACACACACACACACACACAUAAUCUCAUUACAUCUUAUUAUCACAUAUGUUUAUUGUUUAUAGAAGUGUCCUUUAACCAGAUCUUGGAUAGCAGGUUAAGCCAUAUAUCACAAUUAAUGUAACAAGUAACAGUCAGAGACGUCGGUUGUGUCAGAAUUCCUUCCCUACUCACCACAUACUGCAGGACAUAGUG